rnacentral:lncRNA from 1 species
AUUCCUUUCCCCUACCCAUUUCCCUUUUUCCAUUUCCCUAACCCAUAAAAAUCCCUAAGCCUUUCCCUCCCCCCUUUUUUUCCCCAAUUCCAAAAUCCACUUCCAUCUCCACUGAUCGACCAUUCCACCUCCGGUCCUCCACGGCUCCACCUAUUUCCAGAAUCAGCUCUUACAAGUACUCUAGCAGCGGGUAUUCCUUCAACAGGAAAAAAAGUAAUCGACAGCACUCAAGCUUGAUCAAGAAGGGUACCUUUGCAAAUGUAUAAAGAUCUGGCACUGUCUUCUCGAAAUCGAAAGGUAAAGGAAGAGGAAAAAUGAAGAGGUUAGAGCGCUGUUUCUACGUCUUCUACCUUUGAAUUUCAAGGUGAGUUUGCUACUGUUAACAAUGUUAAGUUGUUAACCCUAGUUUAUGUCGAAGUAAUUUUUUGCUUUUUGUUUUUUUUUUAGAUUGAUGAACUAAUUGAUAUCUAUUAAAUGUCUAAGAUGUUAACCCUUCUCAAUUUCCUCUCAUAUUAUUUUCUAUCUCAAUACUCAAUACUGUUGAUUAUCAUUGCUAAUUACCGAGACUAUGUUAACUGGUACCGAGUGAGUGACACAUACAGGUUUAUGUCGAUUAUCCUGCAUUCCCUCAAAAAAUGAGUGAGAAUUUCUGAACAAACUAAUACUUUAAUGCCAUUGUCUAGAACCCAUAUUUUGUUACUUUUGUAUGUUCCCUGCUUAAAUGAUUGAUUAUUUCAUAUUCAACUGUAAUGUAUUCAUUCAACGAGUUAUUAUUGAUUUAAUAUUAAUAUAUUUUUCAAUCUGUUUAAAUAUACGUUGGAUGUAAAUAUUUUAAGAAAAAAUAGAAACAUGGAGAGAAAUACAUAUUACAUUAGCAUUUUCUUGUUUGACUUGGUGGAUCUUAAUCUAUUAUAAUUAUGUCCCCUGAAAUGUUAAAAAGAGUGUUGAAAUAAAAGUUUUGUUUGCUUUAGAGAAAAACCUUUCUAUUUUUCAUGUAUGUAGAUGGUUUUCCAGAAGCAAAGGGAUGGAAAUCAUGGUGUAUCUUUAAGAAUUUUUUUAGGACCUUUUUUUGUGAUUUUGUGAUUUUAUGAUUGGGGACUCCUUUGGUUAACAAGAUCUUUGAUUUGUGAUGUUUCACAUUGAUAAAAAUAAAAGAGGGGGAUUUCAAUGUUUAAAAAGGUCAAAAGUUGAGGGAUGCAAUGUGUUUGGCCCAUGAUUAACACGGUUCAUAAAGGAACACAUUUGACUUUACAGUUACUUUUCUCAUUUCCAUUUUCAAGUCAGCUUGCUUUCAUGGCUGCUUCUUUGUUUGAUUUGAUUCCUUACCAUUCCAUACUCCUUUUUUUUUUCUUUUCAUCCUCACUGAUGAUUGAUUAGGAUAGCAUUAGUUAUACCCUCAAUUACUUCAAGAUUUCAAUGCUAAUGGAUUAAUACAGACUUCUAACUUAAUUUUAUCUCAGAUAUAUUGCUUAAAAUCUUAAAACCCUUUUGCAACUUGUUAGCUAUACAUCCCAACACUUUUCGCAGGUAAGAAAUAUGUAAUUCCAACUCAGUAUAACACUGUUAUUGACUGUCUUUGUAAUUUGUUCAUUUAAUCUCAUCUUUUUUUGUUUUUGCUUUGUUUUAUUACAGAAACAAGCGACAUUGAAAUCGAUUUGGCUUACCUUAGCUUCCUUUCUCGUAAGCUUUCAUUUACAUUUUCUUUUUAGAAUUUAAUUUAAUUUAAUUUAAUUUAAUUUAAUUUAAUUUGAUUUGAUUUGAUUUUCUUUUACUUUGUACAACAUUUUCUUUUAUUAAGAUGUAGUUUGAAUUUUAUUCAAGGUAAAGAAGUCUGUCUAUGUAUUCUUAGCAGAUGAAUGAUCAUAAAAACAUUUGUUUUCUAAUUAAAAUUGAUUGAUUUAUUUUUUAUAGAGCAC